UUUAAACUUUUUGUGAGGACAUUUAUUUGAUCACCACCAUCGCAUUUUUAAGUCACGUUAGAUGGCGCUAUGGGCGUAGAGAUGGUGCUGAUGCAACGCUGUUCAACGAAGGAAAAAAACACCCGCUAAAUUGUUUCUGGAACCUUCCUUAAUUUUUUCGGUAUUAAAGUUUGUUAUUGCUGUUAGACACAAUUAGCUGACCUGAGCGGUAACAUGUUAGGUGUUUAAAGUGAUCCUCAACCUAUUUUAAGGAUUGACGGUGUUCAAACGCUGUAUGUUUCAUUAGAAAAUAAUGAAAAUGCGCUUUAAUUUUUAAACUGCGUGUAAGUUAGUUGGUAUAGUUGGCGUGUCAUUGAUGUAUUGUCGAUGUUUUAAUUCUCUAUUUUAGGCAACUUGGAUCAGUAAAUGUAUGCCAAUACUUAGUGAAAACUAAAACACUAACCAAUAUCAUGCUGGUUAAGGUGAAACUUGGGGAUGCCCAAAAAUUUGUCAAGAUAACAGAGCUGAGCCUGGAGGAAUUUCUAUCUGCUGCAUUUUUAAAGUUUGGUGUCCCAGCUGUACCAGAGAAUGUGAAGGUUUUUGAUGAGUCAGGGACUGAGGUGGAUAGUGAUGUUUUUGAGGAAAUAGUCAGAGAUCCCUCAGUUGGAG